UGGGGAAUAUUGCACAAUGGGGGAAACCCUGAUGCAGCGACGCCGCGUGAACGAAGAAGGUAUUCGUACCGUAAAGUUCUGUCCUAUGGGAAGAUAAUGACAGUACCAUAGAAGAAAGCUCCGGCUAAAUACGUGCCAGCAGCCGCGGUAAUACGUAUGGAGCGAGCGUUGUCCGGAAUUAUUGGGCGUAAAGGGUACGCAGGCGGUUUAAUAAGUCGAAUGUUAAAGAUCGGGGCUCAACCCCGUAAAGCAUUGGAAACUGAUAAACUUGAGUAGUGGAGAGGAAAGUGGAAUUCCUAGUGUAGUGGUGAAAUACGUAGAUAUUAGGAGGAAUACCAGUAGCGAAGGCGACUUUCUGGACACAAACUGACGCUGAGGUACGAAAGCGUGGGGAGCAAACAGG
rnacentral:rRNA from 1 species